GACGAACGCUGGCGGCGUGCUUAACACAUGCAAGUCGAACGGUAAGGCCCUUCGGGGUACACGAGUGGCGAACGGGUGAGUAACACGUGGGUGAUCUGCCCUGCACUUCGGGAUAAGCCUGGGAAACUGGGUCUAAUACCGGAUAGGACCCUGGGAUGCAUGUCCUGGGGUGGAAAGCUUUUGCGGUGUGGGAUGGGGCCGGGGCCUAUCAGCUUGUUGUUGGGGUGAUGGCCUACCAAGGCGACGGCGGGUAGCCGGGCUGAGAGGGUGACCGGCCACACUGGGACUGAGAUACGGCCCAGACUCCUACGGGAGGCAGCAGUGGGGAAUAUUGCACAGUGGGAGCAAGCCUGAUGCAGCGACGCCGCGUGAGGGAUGACGGCCUUCGGGUUGUAAACCUCUUUCAGCACCGACGAAGCGCAAGUGACGGUAGGUGCAGAAGAAGGACCGGCCAACUACGUGCCAGCCGCCGCCGUAA
rnacentral:rRNA from 1 species